UGGUUUCUUACCUUGCUUAAGAGCCUUUGGUGAGGAACCUUGUCAAAGGCUUUCUGAAAAUCUAAGUGCAGUAUAUCCACUGGUUCCCCCUGUUCCACAUGCUUGUUGACCCUCUCAAAGAAUUCUAGUAGAUUGGUGAGGCAUGAUUUCCCUUUACAAGAAUGAUGUUGACUCUUCCCCAACAAAUUAUGUUCAUUUUUGUGUCUGACAAGUUUAGUCUUUACUAUAAUUUCAACCAGUUUGCCCAGUACUGAAGUCAGGCUUACUGGCCUGUAAUUGCCAGAA